rnacentral:misc_RNA from 1 species
GAUGAAGAACGUAGCGAAAUGCGAUAAGUAAUGUGAAUUGCAGAAUUCAGUGAAUCAUCGAAUCUUUGAACGCACAUUGCGCCCGCUAGUAUUCUGGCGGGCAUGCCUGUCCGAGCGUCAUUUCAACCCUCAAGCCCCCGGGCUUGGUGUUGGGGAUCGGCGAGCCUCCGCGCCCGCCGUCCCCUAAAUCUAGUGGCGGUCCCGCCGCAGCUUCCAUCGCGUAGUAGCUAACACCUCGCGACUGGAGAGCGGCGCGGCCACGCCGUAAAACACCCAACUCUUCUGAAGUUGACCUCGAAUCAGGUAGGAAUACCCGCUGAACUUAAGCAUAUCAAUAAGCGGAGGA